UACGUAGGUGACAAGCGUUGUCCGGAUUUACUGGGCGUAAAGAGCGCGCAGGCGGUCGUUCAAGUCGAGUGUGAAAGCCCCCGGCUCAACUGGGGAGGGUCAUUCGAUACUGAUCGACUCGAAGGCAGGAGAGGGAAGUGGAAUUCCCGGUGUAGUGGUGAAAUGCGUAGAUAUCGGGAGGAACACCAGUGGCGAAGGCGGUUGCCUGGGGCUUUGCUGACGCUGAGGCGCGAAAGCGUGGGGAGCGAUCCGG
rnacentral:rRNA from 1 species